AAAAUAUGAAGAUUUCAAAAGAAGCUGAAAGCCCAAGAAGUGAACUCCUGAUGACUGGAAAAGAAGCAGAACAAUCAGAUAAAGAGGUAACUGAGCAAGCUGCAAAAUUAACCCAGCCUGGCGGAACUUCAUCUAGAACUACUGAUGGGAAGAGGAGAAGAACUUCAGAUGAAGAUUCUGGUCCAAG